rnacentral:piRNA from 1 species
UCCUAAGAAGAAAAUUUNGGUGCAAGCAUC